rnacentral:rRNA from 1 species
UACGGAGGGUGCAAGCGUUAAUCGGAAUUACUGGGCGUAAAGCGCGCGUAGGCGGUUUUGUAAGUCGGAUGUGAAAGCCCUGGGCUCAACCUGGGAAUUGCAUUCGAAACUGCAUGACUAGAGUAUAGUAGAGGGAAGUGGAAUUCCAGGUGUAGCGGUGAAAUGCGUAGAUAUCUGGAGGAACAUCAGUGGCGAAGGCGACUUCCUGGACUAAUACUGACGCUGAGGUGCGAAAGCGUGGGGAGCAAACAGG